rnacentral:rRNA from 1 species
AGAGUUUGAUCCUGGCUCAGGAUGAACGCUGGCGGCGUGCCUAACACAUGCAAGUUGAGCGAUUUACUUCGGUAAAGAGCGGCGGACGGGUGAGUAACGCGUGGGUAACCUACCCUGUACACACGGAUAACAUACCGAAAGGUAUGCUAAUACGGGAUAAUAUAUUUGAGAGGCAUCUCUUGAAUAUCAAAGGUGAGCCAGUACAGGAUGGACCCGCGUCUGAUUAGCUAGUUGGUAAGGUAACGGCUUACCAAGGCGACGAUCAGUAGCCGACCUGAGAGGGUGAUCGGCCACAUUGGAACUGAGACACGGUCCAAACUCCUACGGGAGGCAGCAGUGGGGAAUAUUGCACAAUGGGCGAAAGCCUGAUGCAGCAACGCCGCGUGAGUGAUGAAGGCCUUCGGGUCGUAAAACUCUGUCCUCAAGGAAGAUAAUGACGGUACUUGAGGAGGAAGCCCCGGCUAACUACGUGCCAGCAGCCGCGGUAAUACGUAGGGGGCUAGCGUUAUCCGGAUUUACUGGGCGUAAAGGGUGCGUAGGCGGUCUUUCAAGUCAGGAGUGAAAGGCUACGGCUCAACCGUAGUAAGCUCUUGAAACUGGGAGACUUGAGUGCAGGAGAGGAGAGUGGAAUUCCUAGUGUAGCGGUGAAAUGCGUAGAUAUUAGGAGGAACACCAGUUGCGAAGGCGGCUCUCUGGACUGUAACUGACGCUGAGGCACGAAAGCGUGGGGAGCAAACAGGAUUAGAUACCCUGGUAGUCCACGCUGUAAACNGUUCGAGUCGCGGAUAGAUCACCAAUGGAGAGGUGUCCGAGUGGUUUAAGGAGCUGGUCUUGAAAACCAGUGACUUCGAAAGGGGCCGUGGGUUCGAAUCCCACCCUCUCCGCCAAAUGCCCAGAUAGCUCAGUCGGUAGAGCAGGGGACUGAAAAUCCCCGUGUCGGUGGUUCGAUUCCGCCUCUGGGCACCAAAAUAUGGCGGUAUAGCUUAGUUGGCUAGAGCGUUCGGUUCAUACCCGAAAGGUCAUAGGUUCGACUCCUAUUACCGCUACUAAAAUUUAAUGUGGGCCAUUAGCUCAGUUGGUUAGAGCGCCCGGCUCAUAACCGGUAGGUCUGGGGUUCGAGUCCCUGAUGGCCCACCACAUUAAAUUAACUUAUGGUGGGUAUAGCUCAGUUGGUUAGAGCGCCAGAUUGUGGCUCUGGAGGUCGUGAGUUCGACUCUCAUUAUCCACCCCAACUUAUAUGGUCUAUUAGCUCAGUCGGUAGAGCACCUGACUUUUAAUCAGGGUGUCCCGCGUUCGAGUCGCGGAUAGAUCACCAAAAAGGCGGCGACAUAGCCAAGUGGUAAGGCAGUGGACUGCAACUCCUUGAUCCCCAGUUCGAAUCUGGGUGUCGCCUCCAAUAAAAUGCGCUCAUAGCUCAACUGGAUAGAGUGUCUGACUACGAAUCAGAAGGUUAGGGGUUCGAGUCCCUUUGGGCGCACCAUAUGAAUAGCGAGGGAUUAUAGCUCAGCUGGGAGAGCACCUGCCUUACAAGCAGGGGGUCACAGGUUCGAGCCCUGUUAAUCCCACCAGUGCAAACCUCUAGUAAAACUACUAGAGGUUUUAUUUUUGAUUGAAAAAAUUUUUAUAUUUAGGAGGUAAAAAAUUUGUAUAUAGUAAUAGGAAAUGAAAUAGUUGAUAGUGAAGAACUUAAAAUAAUUAUAGAUAAAAAUAGUGAAUUUAAAGUUGAAAAAGAUUUAAGUAAAAGCACAAAAAGAGAAGAUGUAAUAGCAUAUCAGUUAAGUAUAGAUUUAAAUUACCUAGAUUCUCUUAUAAAUGAGCAAUGUAAUUUAGCCAGUCUAUCUGAUGAAGAGAAAUUUGAUGAAUAUAUGACUUUGUCUGAUGAACUUGCACUGGAUUUAGAAGAGUUAAUGCCAAAAUAUACAAUAAUAAAUGCUAGAGCAUAUAAAUUAGACGAGGUAUAUGGAAUUGUAAAAAUAAUACUAGCUGUAGCGUAUGCAGAUUUAGGGCACUUAAAACUUUCUGAUGUAGUAAAGAGGCUAUCUAGACAAGUAGAUUAGGAUAUGAAUAUGAACUAUAUUAAAAAAAUGUAUAAAAUCUUACGUAAAGAUGAAAAUAAUUAUGUAAACAUAGAAAAAAACAGUAUAAAAUCAAGUCAAUUGUAGAAAUUUUCACAUAAAUUCAUCUGAAAUUCUAUAAAAAAUGCCUUAAUUUUAAUGAGGUAAAUCGAGUUUACACAGUCUAAAAAUUACUUAUAUUUAUAAAUUUAUCUUAUUAAUUAAGGAACUUUCUUAAACAUCUUCAAAAAUAAAGUAUUUUAGUCUAUAAUCUUUAAUAUUACACAAACAAUAAAGGAGAAGAAUAGAGUAUGCUUAAAAAGUUUAAUAAAAUACUAGUGGCUAAUAGAGGCGAAAUAGCUAUAAGAAUAUUUAGAGCCUGUUCAGAAUUGGGGAUAAAAAGUGUUGGUAUAUACAGUAAGGAAGAUAAGUAUGGAUUGUUUAGAACAAAAGCGGAUGAAUCAUAUUUGAUAGGAGAAGGUAAAGGGCCAAUAGAUGCAUAUUUAGAUAUGGAUGGAAUAAUAGACCUAGCAAAGAGAAAAAAAGUUGAUGCUAUACAUCCAGGAUAUGGUUUUCUAGCGGAGAAUGCAGAAUUUGCUCGUAAAUGUGAAGAGAAUGGAAUUACUUUUAUAGGACCAUCAUCUAAGGUAAUGAAUAUGAUGGGGGAUAAGAUUAACUCUAAAAAAAUCGCAAAAGAAGUUAAUGUUCAAACUAUACCAGGAGUAGAAAAAGCAAUAAGAAGUACUGAAGAAGCAAAGGAAGUUGCAAACAAAAUAGGAUAUCCUGUUAUGAUAAAAGCAUCUAAUGGCGGUGGCGGUAGAGGUAUGAGAAUUGUACAUCGCGAAGAAGACUUAGAGCUUGAAUAUGAAACUGCUUGUAGUGAAUCAAGAAAAGCUUUUGGAGAAGAUAUUAUAUUUAUAGAAAAAUAUAUAGCUGAUCCAAAACAUAUAGAAGUUCAAAUAUUAGGUGAUAAUUAUGGAAAUAUAGUUCACUUAUAUGAAAGAGAUUGUUCAGUUCAAAGAAGACAUCAAAAAAUAAUAGAAUAUGCACCAGCUUUUUCGUUAGAUGAUAAAGUAAGAAAAGAGAUAUGUGAAGAUGCAGUUAAGUUAUCAAAACAUGUGGGUUAUUCUAAUGCGGGAACAUUAGAAUUUUUAGUAGAUGCAAAUGGUGGGCAUUAUUUUAUAGAGAUGAACACAAGAGU